rnacentral:snRNA from 1 species
UUGCUUUGGCAGCACAUAUACUAAAAUUGGUACAAUACAGAGAUUAGUAUGGUCCCUGCUCAAUGAAGACAUAGACUUCUGAAGCACUCCAUACUUUU